rnacentral:rRNA from 1 species
UACGUAGGGAGCGAGCGUUGUCCGGAAUUACUGGGUAUAAAGGGAGAGUAGGCGGGUUUAUAAGUUAAAUGUGAAAUUUAUGAGCUCAACUCAUGAACUGCGUUUAAAACUAUAGAUCUUGAGUGAAGCAGAGGCAGGUGGAAUUCCUAGUGUAGCGGUGAAAUGCGUAGAUAUUAGGAGGAACACCAGUGGCGAAGGCGGCCUGCUGGGCUUUUACUGACGCUGAGGCUCGAAAGCAUGGGGAG